rnacentral:rRNA from 1 species
ACGGGGUGCAGCAGGCGCGAAACCUUUGCAAUGCGCGCAAGCGCGACAAGGGAACUCCAAGUGCCCCCAUUGGGGGCUUUUGUCUACUCUAAAACGGUAGGCGAAUAAGGACUGGGUAAGACCCGUGCCAGCCGCCGCGGUAAUACGGGCAGUCCUAGUGGUGUCCACGGAUACUGGGCUUAAAGCGUUCGUAGCCGGACUCAUCAGUCCUUGGUGAAAGCUUGUGACUUAAUCAUGAGAGUUGCCAGGGAAACAGUGAGUCUUGGAGUCGGGAAGGGUCAGAGGUAUUCCUUGGGUAGGAGUAAAAUCCUGUAAUCCUUGGAGGACCAACAGUGGCGAAGGCGUCUGACUAGAACGAGCUCGACGGUGAGGAACGAAAGCUAGGGGAGCGACCCGGAUUAGAUACCCGGUUAGUCCUAGCCGUAAAUGAUGCAAGCUUUGUGUCGCACUCCGUACGUCGGUGUGCGGUGCCGUAGGGAAACCGUUAAGCUUGCCGCCUGGAAGUACGCCGCAAGGC